rnacentral:misc_RNA from 1 species
UUUAGAAUAUUUACAUCAAAAUCUACAGUUCAAUCAUAAAACGAAAUUAAGCUUGCUCCAAUUUGAGGAUGAUUUAACUAUUAACUAACAUAAUGAUACAUGAAGACAAGCCAUAACAGGUUAAGAUCGAUAAAUUUUACCUCUUCACUGGAAACCAAGCAAAUCCUCAAUAAACUCAACAAGCAAAACAGAGGUAUGGGCGUAUGGUCUCAGCAGGCAAUGGUUAAUUCUAAGAUUCUAGUCACAAUUAACAAAGGCACAUGCCACCUACUAUGCACUAAUUAACAACGCUUAACAAAAGCAUGCUUACCUAGAUGCCUAGAUACAGCAUCCAGAACAUUGGGAAAAACAAAUCUACAUUUCUAAAUCAAUUAAGCAUUCAAAUACAUGCAGAGAAUGAAAAUAGAAGUAACAUAGAGCACUCCUUCGAAAUAAUCCCUGGCGGUCAAGGAUUACUUCAUUUGACUGACUGAACUGCCCCAUUGAACAAUGCGUUGAUGAAAAAUCAGCAGCAAGACAAGAAACCAGAGAAUGUAACUUGAAUCUGUAACGCCUACAGGAAUGGAGACUGCUGCUUCAACUCUAAUAUGGAAGGGUCUCCAAAUGCAAUAUAACAACUGCAAACAAAUUCUACAUUCAUGUUUUUGACCUCUUUUGCUUUUGAGGAACAAAGCGAACUGCUUGCUUCCCCAGUUCCAAUGUUUUUACUCUACCGUCAUCCAGUGUAACAGAUAAUGUUGAAGUGCAUUCAAUCAUGUCGGAGACAGCUCCUUUAUGCCAUGAAUUGUCAGAUGGCUGAUGAACUUCAACUCUCUUUCCAAUUGCAUCUUUACCCAACUUUUUCAAUAUCCAACUAGCUUCCAUCAUCUCACUGUCUCGAUGCGACUGUGUAGCAUCUUCACCUUCAUUAAAAAGUGUUUUCUCCAUCAAGCUUGACGGUCUCUUUCUUUUUGACCUUUGGCCCCUUAUGGAACUCUUUUCUUCCUCAGGUGGAGGCUUUCGAGAAUACUGGUUUAGAAGAUUAGGUUUUUUAAUCUUUAACUUCAAUGAAAUUUUGGAAUCUUUUGGCAGUGAUUGCAAAAUAGGAGUAUCACUAGAAUCAUCAUUGCUUUCGGCAUAUGUCUCAGGUCUGACUUCUGGUUGCUUCCCUAAAGAUACCUUGUUGCUUCUUAAAGCAGAGACUUCACCUACGGGCCCAAUUGCAGUCCCACUUGAAUCAAUGCCUCUUUUACCAGACAAAGCACUUGUAUGUUCUAAACGAAUGGUUUCAUACCCAUCUGCACUCACUCUGUCAAAUUUGGGAUUUAAGUUGGAUGUUUCCGAUUUCACUUUUCCAAACUUAAUAAAAUUUCCCUCUCUUCGUGGAAACUUCAAACUUCUUACUUGGCUAGAGUGAUCAACUGUAUCAACAUCACCAAAUACAGCAGUGCCUUCAUGUCUAUCCCCCUCAAACCUAUCACUCAUUCCUUGUUGGCCUGCAUCUUCACUACCAUUAGAAGUUGUCAAAUCUUGAUCCCUUUGGCAGCUUGAAGCAUCAGAUCUUGGUGAAUUAGUUACAUUUAUUUUUCGCGCACCUAGAUUUAUAACCAACUUCUUUGCCUUCACAGCUUUCAUCUUGUUAGCCUGCUCUUCAGUAUCAUCCCCACUAUUCAUAUCACGAGACUUGUUACUCUUAAUCUUGACAAUUCUAGAUGUCUUCUCUCCAUCACUUACCAUCACUUCAUCUACAAACUUGUGUUUCAAAACAACUGUCUGAUUAACGGAACAAAUUCCUUCAGCAUGGUUCACAAUUCCUGCCACAGGGGAAGAAUAUACAUCUCCCUUUUUAUGAGAAUCACUGUCAUCAUUAUUGUUUUCAUCCAAGCUGUGUCCAAAAGAUCGAACAUCAUGCUGAUGUAGUUCUGUCUUGCUAAUUGAAGACAUCUGAGAACUCUUUUUCUCGGUAGUUUUCUUACUUGAAGAUUUCUUUCCAUGUUCCUUGCUCUUUUUUGGUGACUUAUCAACUAACCCUUUGAGAGAGAGCUUCAGAGAACGUCUAAAUUCAUUCUUUAGCAUCAAUGGACCAUUUUCCUCAUCAUCUGAAUAAGGUGAAAUAGAAAAUAUAUCUUCUUCAGUUGGCAACCCUGCAGCAGCCCUCAAGCUUGCAAUUAAACCUUGAUCAGCUUUAUCACGUCUCCUCCAUAGCUCUUGAACAGCAUCUUCAAGGUCCUUUACCUGGUAACACUCUCCUCGACAUGUGGCACAUUUGUACUGGAGAUUUCCAUCCACUUGAAAUUGCAGAUAUUUUUCAUCACUAAUCCCAUCACAACUGCAGUGCACCCACCGCUGGCAAAUAUCACAGCAAACCAUUGGUGUUGACUCUGAAUCUCUAUAAACCUUUAAACAAACAGGACAAUAAUUUCCCUUCACAAACAAUCUUCCACAAGCAUCACAGCAAGUGUAUCCCAGAAACCACCUCACACUUAGACCAUUUCCAGGAACAGAAGAUCCACAGCUGUGACACCUUGUAUGUUUAGGGCAUAAAUAUGGUCCAGAACUCACAUUCUUGUGCGGAGGAUGUUGGCAGUAACAAUGGUAUGCACCAUCACACCUUUUGCAAAACAUAAACUUAUUUGGAUCCCCAGUUCUUCGGCAUAUCUCACAGAUUCUGCAAGAUGGACAGGUCCAUGAACUCCAGUGAAAUAAAUCUCUAUGUUGAGCCCAUGCUUUCAAACAGCUUCUAUGGUACUUCUUGCCACAACUUUUGCAGGAAAGCAUCCUCCUUGCCCUCUCACUUCCUUCAGUUUCACCCAAAAAGCACAUUCGGCACAUUAUAUUCGCGUUAGACAGACCUUGCUCAUCUCCAGCAGUAUCUUUUGAGGCAACCGCCAUAUCACCAGACUCAAACCGGCGGGCAUAAUCCUCAGCAGCAACCAUAGCAGCUGCCGCCUUUCUCUGAAGCGCGACCCGCUUAGUCUGAGCCGAAGCCUCCUCUCCCAAUUCACUACCGCCACCAGCACUACCUCCUCCUCCCCCUCCAUCUCCAGCCGCAACAACACCAAACGUCGGCGCAGGAGCCGCGGGGACCGGCGCGACCUUAGGAACAAGAACCUGAACAGUGGACUUCUUAGAAUCCCUAAUUCCCAAAGGAUCCUUGAAAAACUCCUCGAUUCUCGAAACGUCAAGCAAGAAGUCGGCCUUGGAUUUGGCGCUGUGGAGAUCCUGCGGAAACCCUAGCGGGCAGAAGCAGAUUCGGCGACAUGUAAUUGGGCAAGCUACGUGAAAGGCCAUAGUGAAGGGAUUUUGAAUUUUUUGAGUUUUAGAGAGAGGGAUUUAGAGAUCGCUCCUUUAAAAAAAUUAAUAAUAAUAAAAAUUAAAAUUAAACUUCGGACUUUAUUUUCUCUUUUUUUUUAAGUGAAAGUGAUUUUUUUUUUUUUUUAAGGGGAAAAUAAGAGGCUGUGACUGUGCAGAUCUAUUCUCUGUUCCUUAUGGUUGAUGGUUG